rnacentral:rRNA from 1 species
AAAUGACUCUCGGCAACGGAUAUCUCGGCUCUCGCAUCGAUGAAGAACGUAGCAAAAUGCGAUACUUGGUGUGAAUUGCAGAAUCCCGUGAACCAUCGAGUCUUUGAACGCAAGUUGCGCCUGAAGCCAAUAGGUCGAUGGCACGCCUGCCUGGGCGUCACGCACU